UACGUAGGCAGCAAGCGUUGUUCGGAGUUACUGGGCGUAAAGGGUGCGUAGGCGGCUCUAUAAGUAUGGUGUGAAAUCUCCCGGCUUAACUGGGAGGGUGCGCUAUAGACUGUGGGGCUAGAGUGUGGGAGAGGAAAGUGGAAUUCCUGGUGUAGCGGUGAAAUGCGUAGAGAUCCGGAAGAACACCGGUGGCGAAGGCGGCCCGCUGGGCAGGAAGAUGGAGCAAUCCAUCGGCUGACGCUGAGGCGCGGACAGCGGUGGGGAGCAAACAGG
rnacentral:rRNA from 1 species